GGGUGCGAUCAAAGCAGCACUAAUGCACCGGAUCCCAUCAGAACUCCGAAGAUAAGCGUGUUUCGGGGCGAGAGUAGACUUAGGAUGGGUGACCUCCUGGGAAGUCAUCGUGUUGCCCCCC
rnacentral:rRNA from 1 species